rnacentral:tRNA from 1 species
AGCACUAUGGCUUAGUUGGCUAAAGCAACUUUUUCAUAAACAGAAGAUCCUGGGUUCAACUCCCAGUGGUGCCU